rnacentral:rRNA from 1 species
UACAGAGGGUGCGAGCGUUGUUCGGAAUUAUUGGGCGUAAAGCGCGUGUAGGCGGUCUGUUAUGUCGGGUGUGAAAGCCCUCAGCUUAACUGAGGAAGUGCGCCCGAAACUGGCAGGACUUGAGUGCCGGAGAGGAUAGCGGAACACCCGGUGUAGAGGUGAAAUUCGUAGAUAUCGGGUAGAACACCAGUGGCGAAGGCGGCUAUCUGGACG